rnacentral:rRNA from 1 species
UACGUAGGGGGCGAGCGCUGUCCGGAUUUAUUGGGCGUAAAGAGCUCGUAGGCGGUUUGUCGCGUCUGCUGUGAAAACCCGAGGCUCAACCUCGGGCCUGCAGUGGGUACGGGCAGACUAGAGUGCGGUAGGGGAGAUUGGAAUUCCUGGUGUAGCGGUGGAAUGCGCAGAUAUCAGGAGGAACACCGAUGGCGAAGGCAGAUCUCUGGGCCGUAACUGACGCUGAGGAGCGAAAGCGUGGGGAGCGAACAGG